AUCGCUUCUCGGCCUUUUGGCUAAGAUCAAGUGUAGUUUUUUUUUUGCAAAGGGGGAAAAGCAAAGAGGAAAAGGCCCAUUUUUAUGGGGUUCAAGUCACAUUUUUUCAGCUUCUAAAGGAAAGGGAGCCUUUUCUACAGUUUCCAGACAGAUAAUCUAAUCAGCCAGUCACAAGUCGCUGGGGAAACAAACAACC